UAAAAAAAAAACAGAACUCUAUCGUCGUCUCCAACUUCUUUCUCAAUCAAAAAGGCGAUUUCGUUUUAGCCGUCAGACACCUUCUUUCUCUGGCCCGUCUAAGUUCGUCGGAAAACUUCAACUCACCGUCACAUCUCUCUGUUGUCCUCCUUCUUUUGUCUUUCCUCUUUGAGAACCACCAAUUACAAUCACUUUGUAAUCUCCGCGGAUUACAAUCAGAGUUGUUAAAUCUUAUUAGUUCUUUUUUAGGGUUUCGAUUUGGAGGAUUUUUUUGGGUUUCGGUUUCGAUUUGUCUUGACUAUCUGUUUCUGUGUCUAUGGGUUUUGAUUUCGGUUGCCAAUAUGUUUAGGGUUUUGAUUUUGGUUGACUAUUUGUCUCUGUUGCUGUGUCAAGAGUCUUGAUUAUGACUAUCUUGACAAUUUGUUCCUGUCUUGAGUCUCUGUUUUUGUACCUGAUUAAUCUUUUCUCUGGUCUUCACUAUAUGGUUUAUCUUGUAUUUGAUUUAUCUUGUCGCUGGUCUUGACUAUCUUAUUUAUAUUAUCUAUGUGUUAUAGUCUUGUUAUAGUAGCUAAUUUAUAUUGUUAAUAGUUUCUGUGUUACGAUUUUGUUUCUCUUUGUAAUGGUUCUUUGAGUUAUGAGGCCGGUGGAGGAGGAGAGAGCUCGGAGACAGUGGCUGCAAGAUGAUAUGUUGUUGUAUAGAGGUUUUAUGAAGGUUAAAGAGAGGGGCUGCGCAGUUAAGGAGCGUAUCAGUAAAAUGAGUCAAGGGCUGUCUUUAAGGUUCUGCGUUUUUGGAAACAAAACCAGAAGGGCAACAAGGAGCUUAUGAUGAUGAGGACCUGGAACACUUAUCAGUUUUCAGAAGAAGAUUAGUGGUGGUGUGAAAAAGAAUGGUGGUCAAGGCGAUGUGGUGGUCGUUGGAUUCACGUCACACAGAUUUAGGUUGGAUGAAGAAGAUCUCUGAGAUCCAGUGAGAAGGCGGAUUCACGGUUGAAGGGUCGAGACGAC